rnacentral:tRNA from 1 species
GAGCCUGUAGUCAAUUAUGAUUUUUAAUUUGCAAUUAAAAGGUUAGAUGGCUUA